CCUACGUGAGGCAGCAGUGAGGAAUAUUGGUCAAUGGGCGCGAGCCUGAACCAGCCAAGUAGCGUGAAGGAUGACUGCCCUACGGGUUGUAAACUUCUUUUAUAAAGGAAUAAAGUGAGGCACGUGUGCCUUUUUGUAUGUACUUUAUGAAUAAGGAUCGGCUAACUCCGUGCCAGCAGCCGCGGUAAUACGGAGGAUCCGAGCGUUAUCCGGAUUUAUUGGGUUUAAAGGGAGCGUAGAUGGGUUGUUAAGUCAGUUGUGAAAGUUUGCGACUCAAACGUAAAAUUGAAAUUGAUACUGGCAGUCUUGAGUACAGUUGAGGUAGGCGGAAUUCGUGGUGUAGCGGUGAAAUGCUUAGAUAUCACGAAGAACUCCGAUUGCGAAGGCAGCUUACUAAACUGCCACUGACAUUGAUGCUCGAAAGUGUGGGUAUCAAACAGGAUUAGAUACCCGAGUAGUC
rnacentral:rRNA from 1 species